UAGGGANNNNNCGGCAAUGGGGGCAACCCUGACCGAGCAACGCCGCGUGAGUGAAGAAGGUUUUCGGAUCGUAAAGCUCUGUUGUAAGAGAAGAACGAGUGUGAGAGUGGAAAGUUCACACUGNNNNGGUAACUUACCAGAAAGGGACGGCUAACUACGUGCCAGCAGCCGCGGUAAUACGUAGGUCCCGAGCGUUAUCCGGAUUUAUUGGGCGUAAAGCGAGCGCAGGCGGUUAGACAAGUCUGAAGUUAAAGGCUGUGGCUUAACCAUAGUACGCUUUGGAAACUGUUUAACUUGAGUGCAGAAGGGGAGAGUGGAAUUCCAUGUGUAGCGGUGAAAUGCGUAGAUAUAUGGAGGAACACCGGUGGCGAAAGCGGCUCUCUGGUCUGUAACUGACGCUGAGGCUCGAAAGCGUGGGGAGCAAACAGGAUUAGAUACCCUGGUAGUCCACGCCGUAAACGAUGAGUGCUAGGUGUUGGGUCCUUUCCGGGACUCAGUGCCGCAGCUAACGCAUUAAGCACUCCGCCUGGGGAGUACGACCGCAAGGUU
rnacentral:rRNA from 1 species